AACGAAAAAAGACCUACGAAAACUAACCAGCGACAAGAAAACCUAAACCUAUCGCCCGCACGUACGAUCGACGACUCCUGCCCUCGAGUGAGGUCUCCCUUCGCCGCCGCCGCUCCACCCAGAGCCGCCCUCUUCCCCGCUGGCGCCGCCCUCUUCCCUCCCACCCCGAGCUGCCGUCUUCCCCGCCCACGCCGCUCUCUUCCCCGCCGGCGCUGCCCUCCACUCACCUUCUGUUCUUCAAGCGGGGACGCCCCAGAUCGAGUCGAGCAAGUCAGCGGGGCAGCGGCCAGAUCCGCCACGGCCACAUCUCGUCGAGAUGGGCUGUGCCGGGAGAGGUAGAUCGAGGCGCGGGCGACGUGUGCGUCUUGUCUCUUGGGACGCCGCUCCGACCCGAUCCGGCGAGGAGGCAGCCUCCGUGUGCGGCAAUGAGGGCGGCGGCCGGCUGUGCGAAAGGUCGAUCUGAUUGUGCCUCGUCACACCCCUUCCCUGGGCUGCACUUUCUUUGCCUGUUAAGCAAUUGAUAUACAUAGUGGAGCAAGAAUUAACACCAUGGAAGGGGAGAAAUACAGUACAGGCACUACGUAUUUUAAAUUUUGCAUGUGGGCUCAGGCGUGGCAGCGUCAGCGGCCUCCGACGCUCCUCGGCUCAGCCGCCGCCGACCUACCAUGCCCAAAAUCCUCGCGAGCAGUGUCACUCCUUCCCCUCACCGUGGACUUCACACUAGGAUGGGAGCAACCUGCAUCUUUCGAAUGUACUGAACUAAUAAAUAACUACGUACUUUUGAACUGAAUAUCCUCCGGCAAUUGGCGUCAGCAUUGACUAUGCCACUGUCAAAUGCAUGUUUGUUUAAUCAUAAUGAUUUCUUCAUCCCUUUAGUUAGAAGAAUCAAAAGGAGUUAAUAAGCUUCUAAGCUCUUUAGUCUGCAUUUUUCUUUGUAGUUCCUUUUUUUACUCAGAUUGUGCAACGUCAAUGGUCUCUACCCUGAAGAGUCAAGAUUACAUUGUUACUGACUUGCAAGGCUCUAUUAUGUUUCGAGGUGCAAUGGAUUGAUUGAUUGAUGAAUCAAUCACAGCUGCUAGAAGAAGAAAGAAUCAGGCGUGCAUCAUGGAUGAUGGAUCUUGGAGUGCGGGGUGAGAACAAAGGUGAUUUAUUGGAGUGAUAUAAGCAAACUCAGGCACGUUUCCUUUCCUCACAUUUUGAAGAUCCAAGCAGAAUGGAUCUAUUAUUAGUAGCAUCGUCACCUUCAAAUCCAAUGUUUUUUUAGGCCACUCCUGUGUUUGUCUCUUUCAAACUAAUCUGGUUUAAACAGUAGAUCAUUACUAUUUUACCUACUUGAUUCUUAAUGCUUGUAUUUCUUAAAUUUUCCUAGGAGAAUGGGAAUUACAUCUAGAGCUACAGUUUGUGAUUUAAGGAUCUGCUAGGCAUGUCAUGGCAAGUAAUUUUACUUGGCAAUUGCCAUGCUCCAGCAUAAAUCAUGUUCUGUUGCAGCACCUGACAUUUAGGUACCUUGAUUCAUGGAUGUA